rnacentral:rRNA from 1 species
GAUCUGGCUCAGGAUGAACGCUAGCGGCAGGCUAACACAUGCAAGUCGAGGGGCAUCGGGAGUAGCAAUACUGCCGGCGACCGGCGCAAGGGUGCGUAACGCGUGAGCAACAUGCCCGUAUCAGGGGGAUAAUCCAUGGAAACGUGGUCUAAUACCCCAUAGUAAUUAUGUAAGGCAUCUUAUAUAAUUUAAAGCUUUGGUGGAUACGGAUUGGCUCGCGUGACAUUAGCUGGAUGGUAAGGUAACGGCUUACCAUGGCUACGAUGUCUAGGGGUUCUGAGAGGAAGGUCCCCCACACUGGAACUGAGACACGGUCCAGACUCCUACGGGAGGCAGCAGUGAGGAAUAUUGGACAAUGGAUGGAAAUCUGAUCCAGCCAUGCCGCGUGCCAGGAAGACGGCCCUAUGGGUUGUAAACUGCUUUUGUAUGGGAGCAAUAAGGGCUACGUGUAGUCCGAUGAGAGUACCAUACGAAUAAGCACCGGCUAACUCCGUGCCAGCCGCCGC